rnacentral:misc_RNA from 1 species
GAAAUGCGAUACUUGGUGUGAAUUGCAGAAUCCGCGAGUCAUCAGAUCUUUGAACGCAAUUGGCGCCGAUCGUAUCGGCAUGUUUGUUUCAGUGUGGAAGGAAUCACAAAUCAUAAUGCGAUUGAAAAUGUAAAUUUUCUCUCGUUAAACACGUCGGUGUCUGUGAGAAUAUCAUGGGAACACCCACGAACGAAGUAGUCUCAUUUAUGAGAUCUCGUUUUGUAAAGGGUAAAUAAAAAUCUCUGUAUUCAAUAAAACGCAGCCCUUAAAAAAACAACUAGGAAAAAAUUUAUUCUUUCUCCUUUUUCUCUCUUACACCUGAAAUCAAGCAAGACGACCCGCUGAACUUAA